UAUGCUUUUGCUAUAUUCAGG
rnacentral:miRNA from 1 species